CUGUAAAGCAGAUUGCACUAGUCUACGAAAUGUACAGGGAGUGUAAUGGCAAAUAGUCAGGGGAUCACAAUGACACAGAAUAUCCCCAUCUGCAGCAGUGAACUACUCACAGUUUAGGGGCAGGUCUAAACAACAGUAGGUGGAUGAUUUUCUGGAUAUCAUUUUUGAAGUCAUUCCGUAUAUUCAACUUUUCGGAAGGUUUGGACUUUUAUCACGGACAGAAUUCAGAAAUGUAAAGUUGCAAAUGCAUUUUGGGAGCUGAGAAGUCACUCGGAUGGAUGUGUAUAUAAGCAAUCUGCAUUCUGAUUCCAAGAAGGAACCGGGAGAAUUAUACAUUCAGUUUGGGUAUAAAUGUCAAAGACAUGUUAGGCUGGAAUCACACGCAGCAUUUUGUGCGAGAGUGCUGAACCAGUGUGCAGAGAAUGCCACUGAAGAAACAAGCGAGUAUAUCAUUUGUUAAUGACAUGGUAAGGGUUGUUGACUCUAGUGUGUGAGUGCUCUUGAGAUAGGAAUACAGAUUGUGAGCCCCAUUGUAGUUCUGAUGUGAAUGAUGAAAAUCUCUAUGGAGCACUCUAUAUAGGCAAAAAGAAAUAACCUUAUCAAAGAUAUUUGUAAUGCAGCAAAACACUAACUCGUAUCCAUUGGCAUUACAUGGGGCGACGAUAGUAGAACUGCGAAAGUGCUGUGAGGCAACGCAAUCCAGCUGUUUUGCUUAAAUUUUUUGGGUACUGAUUCAACAACUAUAAGCAAUAAAUGGGUAUUUACAUUGUGCUAAUUGUUUCAUUAGCGGGAGACAGGGUGCUGUGCAGUCCCAUGAAGCAGCCGUCAAAUAAGGAAGCCCCACGGCUUGGAUGUACAGGUCCGGGUGGCUUGCCAGUGCUAAAGGCUGUAUUACACCAACAGAUUAUCUGACAGAUUUUUGGUCAGAAGGCCGUUUACACACACAGAUCUUUUGUUAUAGACACCAACUAUUGGUCUGAUUGGACAGAAAUUGGUCAGAUAAUCUGUUGACGUAACACAGCU